CCACAACCCACAAGUGCUCCAUAUCUUACCGGGAAAGAAGAUGUUACAAUCAUUUUUCGGAGGAGGGGAGGCGAUGAUUUGGAGCAAAACCACAGCCGCUGGGAAAGAACUGUGAAAUCCUCUCCAGAUGUCAUUGACAUGACUUUUGUUCCUAUCACAGAUCUCCUUAAUGGGGCACCUGGAAAAGAGCAUCUGACUCGUGC
rnacentral:misc_RNA from 1 species